rnacentral:tRNA from 1 species
GGAGGUACAGCUCAGUGGUAGAGUGUGUGCUUAGCAUGCACAAGGUCCUGGGUUCAGUCCUCAGUACCUCCA